UAUAUAUAUAUACAUAUAUUAAAAUGCAACCGAAGCGACAAGCAUAGGCAGUACGUGCGCGCGCAAGAGAGAGAGAAUAAAAGAAAAAUUAAAAAGGGAAAUUGUAUCAUCAGAAUAGAAAUAUAUAAAUGUAGGCAGCACGCCAAUUACGUGUGUAAAACGGCGUAAUAUUCACAAAGAAAGAAUGAGAGAAUGAAAACGAGAAAAAGAAGAGGUUUGUACCGGGCAAGAUGUCAUGCGAACGAAGAUUGGUACGUCAAAAAUCAAUUGACAAAAAACGGUACGGUGGAUGAGAGCUUGGUGAGAAAGAAAAAACGAGAAAAGAAUAGAGAGAGAGAGAGAGAGAGAGAGAGAGAGAGAGAGAGAGAGGACAAAAAUCUUGCAAGGGUAAUCCGGAAAUUCAUUUGUAAUUGUGCGAUGCGCGCGUGCUAUGUAUAUACGUAUAUACCACCAUGAUGCUUCACGCUAUGUAAACUGAUUACAACUUUAGACUAGAUUAGAUAUUUUGUUGUAUACCAAAACUUCGUGUAGCUGAAUGUGAACGGUAAUAAUAUUCAAAUAUUACAUUGCGAAAGAGAUGUGUGCGUCGCAUGUCAGAGAGAGAGCGAAAGAGAAUGAAGCGAGUCGCGUGUAUGUGUGUGCGUGUAUGUGUGUGUAAGAGAGAAAAAGAGAAGAAAGAUGCAUGAGAGUGAGAAAGAUAGAUGAUGCACUUUCGGCAGAGAGCAGAGAGAGAUCGCUGUCACCGCCGUCGCUCCCCCCCCCUCCCCCCUCCAAACUAUAAUCUUCCAGUGUUACUAAAUAGACUCAUUGUUGAGCACGAAAAAAAGUGAUACUGAUCGAUGAUUAUUUAUGUUAUAAUUCGUCCUCGAUGUUACAGAAAAACCGUGUUUAAUAAAAAUUUCAUUUGGACAAACGGUAA